GGUGAUUCAUGAUAACUUAACGGAUCGCAUGGCCUUGCGCCGGCGACGGUUCAUUCAAAUUUCUGCCCUAUCAACUUUCGAUGGUAAGGUAUUGGCUUACCAUGGUUUCAACGGGUAACGGGGAAUUAGGGUUCGAUUCCGGAGAGGGAGCCUGAGAAACGGCUACCACAUCCAAGGAAGGCAGCAGGCGCGCAAAUUACCCAAUCCCGACACGGGGAGGUAGUGACAAUAAAUACUGAUACAGGGCUCUUUUGGGUCUUGUAAUUGGAAUGAGUACAAUUUAAACCUCUUAACGAGGAACAAUUGGAGGGCAAGUCUGGUGCCAGCAGCCGCGGUAAUUCCAGCUCCAAUAGCGUAUAUUAAAGUUGUUGCAGUUAAAAAGCUCGUAGUUGAACCUUGGGUCUGGCUGGCAGGUCCGCCUCACCGCGUGUACUUGUCCGGCCGGGCCUUCCUUCUGGAGAACCUCAUGCCCUUCACUGGGCGUGUUGGGGACCAGGACUUUUACUUUGAAAAAAUUAGAGUGUUCAAAGCAGGCCUUUGCUCGAAUACGUUAGCAUGGAAUAAUAAAAUAGGACGUGCGGUCCUAUUUUGUUGGUUUCUAGGACCGCCGUAAUGAUUAAUAGGGACAGUCGGGGGCAUCAGUAUUCAAUUGUCAGAGGUGAAAUUCUUGGAUUUAUUGAAGACUAACUACUGCGAAAGCAUUUGCCAAGGAUGUUUUCAUUAAUCAGUGAACGAAAGUUAGGGGAUCGAAGACGAUCAGAUACCGUCGUAGUCUUAACCGUAAACUAUGCCGACUAGGGAUCGGGCGAUGUUCUUUUUCUGACUCGCUCGGCACCUUACGAGAAAUCAAAG
rnacentral:rRNA from 1 species